rnacentral:rRNA from 1 species
GAUGAACGCUGGCGGCGUGCCUAAUACAUUCAAGUCGAGCGAACGGACGAGAAGCUUGCUUCUCUGAUGUUAGCGGCGGACGGGUGAGUAACACGUGGAUAACCUACCUAUAAGACUGGGAUAACUUCGGGAAACCGGAGCUAAUACCGGAUAAUAUUUUGAACCGCAUGGUUCAAAAGUGAAAGACGGUCUUGCUGUCACUUAUAGAUGGAUCCGCGCUGCAUUAGCUAGUUGGUAAGGUAACGGCUUACCAAGGCAACGAUGCAUAGCCGACCUGAGAGGGUGAUCGGCCACACUGGAACUGAGACACGGUCCAGACUCCUACGGGAGGCAGCAGUAGGGAAUCUUCCGCAAUGGGCGAAAGCCUGACGGAGCAACGCCGCGUGAGUGAUGAAGGUCUUCGGAUCGUAAAACUCUGUUAUUAGGGAAGAACAUAUGUGUAAGUAACUGUGCACAUCUUGACGGUACCUAAUCAGAAAGCCACGGCUAACUACGUG